UACUGCGACUCUACAUCUAGGGGAAGACUCCUGGCAGCAUGUUUUCCAUGUGCUUAGGGGGUCCACAUAAGCAGCACUGUUGGGACUUGACUUUCUUAACGUCAACCAUGCACUACUGGACUAUGCUUGCGGUAAACUAUAAUUUUGGGACACUGUUGGGACAAUUCCCCUUUUGCGUGCCAAACACCCUGGAUUUCACAAACGGUUACUGGCAAGUGGAGGUUGCUGAGGGCGACAGGGAGAAAACUGCCUUCACCACCGGCAGGGGUCUCUAUCAGUGGUGGUCGAUGCCAAUGGGCCUCACUAACUCACCUGCAACUUGUCAGCGCAUGAUGGAGCUGGUGCUAAGAGGGCUUCCCUGGCAGAUCAUGCCUGCAGUCAGACCCUCGAAACACAGACAAGUCAGAACGUGGCCCACACCAAAGACUGUGAACGAGCAGGACGAGGGACCCUCCUAUGGGGACUGGACAGCUGAGGAGCCCCUCGUUGCUGUGGGCACAGGGGUGCCACGACAGAAUGUAUCCCGUUCGGGAAGGAUAAUUUCAAUGCAAACAGGGUGUCUAACAAUGUGUGGUAUUAUAUCUGAACUACGAAUGUGGGUUGACAUGCUGUUUGAAUGUUGGUUUGUUAUUAUUUCUGUGGAGCAGAAUGUUAAUGUUGUACUGCAACUGUUUUAAUUGAGUUAAUUGUGGUGAUUAUUUUGGUGUAUUAUUUUGGGCAAAACAGCUAUUUUGAUUAUGAAUAGUGGGUAUGAUGCUCUGUGUUUAUGGUUAAGGGUAUAGUAUUGUGUUGAUUGUUAUUUAAAGGUAAAAAUGUUAUGUUCCCUUGGUGCUGCUACAUAUUUUUGCAAGUGGCUCCGUUUUCAUUUUUUGCUCGUAAGUUGUUGUUGCGUGGAAACGGGGACAUUUCUUUUGAAGGGGGGGAGUUAUGUAACCGAGUUCCUGUCAGGGACUCUUAUUUUGAAGGAGCAGAACGGAAGUGUCUGCGUGUGGGACGCUGUUUUGACUGCGUGGGGAGCGCGAAAAUAAUAAAGAGGAUCGCUCCGUUAAGUGAGUGGAGUUGUUCAAUUCUUCUUUAUUAUUUUUGCCCAAAUAGAAACGAUAAUAAAACGCUUGGUUACAAUAAUAAUA
ensembl:lncRNA